rnacentral:rRNA from 1 species
ACUCAAAUGAAUUGACGGGGACCCGCACAACUGGUGGAGCGUGUGGUUUAAUUCGAGACGAAGCGAAGAACCUUACCAGGGCUUGACAUGCUAUCGUUUAUUCCUCUGGAAACAGAGGGAAAUCCGUAAGGAUGAUAGUGCAGGUGCUGCAUGGCUGUCGUCAGCUCGUGCCGUGAGGUGUUCCCUUAAGUGGGGAAACGAGCGCAACCCUUGCCUAAUGUUACAUAUUCAUUAGGGACGGUCCCGAUUCAAUCGGGAAGGAAGGCGAGGUAGAUGUCAAGUCAGCAUGGCCCUUAUGCCCUGGGUUACACACACCCUACAAUGGCGAAGAACAAUGAGCCGCAAGCUAGCAAUAGCAAGCAAAUCUCAGAAAUUUCGCCUCAGUUCAGAUUGGGGGCUGAAACCCGCCCUCAUGAAGUCGGAAUCAGUAGUAAUCGCGGAUCAGAAGGCCGCGGUGAAUACGUUCUCGGGUCUUGUACACACCGCCCGU